rnacentral:rRNA from 1 species
GAUGAACGCUGGCGGCGUGCCUAACACAUGCAAGUCGAACGGAAUUUACAUGAAGCCUAGCGAUUGUAAAUUUAGUGGCGGACGGGUGAGUAACGCGUGGGUAACCUGCCUUGUACUGGGGGACAACAGUUGGAAACGACUGCUAAUACCGCAUAAGCGCACAGCUUCGCAUGAAGCAGUGUGAAAAACUCCGGUGGUACAAGAUGGACCCGCGUCUGAUUAGCUGGUUGGUGAGGUAACGGCCCACCAAGGCGACGAUCAGUAGCCGGCCUGAGAGGGUGAACGGCCACAUUGGGACUGAGACACGGCCCAAACUCCUACGGGAGGCAGCAGUGGGGAAUAUUGCACAAUGGGGGAAACCCUGAUGCAGCAACGCCGCGUGAGUGAAGAAGUAUUCGGUAUGUAAAGCUCUAUCAGCAGGAAAGAAAAUGACGGUACCUGACUAAGAAGCCCCGGCUAACUACGUG